ensembl:lncRNA
AUCAGCUUUCCCAGUCAACGACACCAGCCUUAACCUCCAGCUAUGGGUGUCUACAAUCUCCUCCGUCUACUGCUCCCAACACCUUUUUUACAGCUUCACAUUUUGACCGGAGCGUGUGUUUCCAUAGCGACUGGGUUCAUAGGUCUCCCUGCCUCUGUGUCUGUAUCGGAGAGCACCCGUCCCAGGAGAGUGGUGGUGGAGUUUCAGGUGCAGAGCUCCAGUCUUCUCCCCACAGUCAACAUCCUCUCUGUCAACCCAGAGUUAGCAGUGUUUGAGACGCCCAUCGUCAACCCUACUAACAUCUCUGGUAUCUUCAAUGUCCAGAUAGUGUUGAGCGGUUCUCUGGACUAUGAGAAGGCCAGCAUGGUGAGUGUUCGUCUGGGCCUGGUCACCUCAUCAGGCCGUG